UGGGGAAUCUUGCGCAAUGGGCGAAAGCCUGACGCAGCAACGCCGCGUGGGGGAUGAAGGCUCUCGGGUUGUAAACCCCUUUCAGCAGGGACGCGGUACCUGCAGAAGAAGCCCCGGCUAACUACGUGCCAGCAGCCGCGGUAACACGUAGGGGGCAAGCGUUGUCCGGAUUUAUUGGGCGUAAAGAGCUCGUAGGUGGCUGAGUAAGUCGGAUGUCAAAUCCCCAGGCUCAACCUGGGACUCCAUCCGAUACUGCUCGGCUAGAGUCCGGUAGGGGAGCGUGGAAUUCCUGGUGUAGCGGUGAAAUGCGCAGAUAUCAGGAGGAACACCAGCGGCGAAGGCGGCGCUCUGGGCCGGUACUGACACUGAGGAGCGAAAGCGUGGGUAGCAAACAGGAUUAGAUACCCUGGUA
rnacentral:rRNA from 1 species